rnacentral:rRNA from 1 species
UACGGAGGAGGCAAGCGUUAUCCGGAAUUAUUGGGCGUAAAGCGUCCGUAGAUGGUCGUUUCAAGUCUGCUGUCAUAGACCGGGGCUUAACCCCAGAAAGGCGGUGGAAACUGAACAGCUAGAGAGAGGUAGGGGUAGAGGGAAUUCCCAGUGUAGCGGUGAAAUGCGUAGAUAUUGGGAAGAACAUCAGUGGCGAAAGCGCUCUACUGGACCUUAUCUGACAUUGAGGGACGAAAGCUAGGGGAGCGAAUGGG